GAUGAACGCUAGCUACAGGCUUAACACAUGCAAGUCGAGGGGUAACGAGAGGAAAGCUUGCUUUCCUUGUCGACGACCGGCGCACGGGUGAGUAACGCGUAUCCAACCUGCCCCCAACUAAGGAAUAACCUUGCGAAAGUAAGACUAAUACCUUAUAAUUUCCUCAGAUGUCAUCUGACGAGGAAUAAAGAUUUAUCGGUUGUGGAUGGGGAUGCGUCUGAUUAGCUUGUUGGCGGGGUAACGGCCCACCAAGGCAACGAUCAGUAGGGGUGUUAGAAGGAAGGUCCCCCACAUUGGAACUGAGACACGGUCCAAACUCCUACGGGAGGCAGCAGUGAGGAAUAUUGGUCAAUGGGCGGAAGCCUGAACCAGCCAAGUAGCGUGCAGGAUGACGGCCCUAUGGGUUGUAAACUGCUUUUAUACAGGAAUAAAGUUAGCCACGUGUGGUUAUUUGUAGGUACUGUAUGAAUAAGGACCGGCUAAUUCCGUGCCAGCAGCCGCCGUAA
rnacentral:rRNA from 1 species